rnacentral:lncRNA from 1 species
UGGUGGUGGUGAGUGGUACUGAUAAGUAUGUGGUGAUGGUGGUGGUGGAGGCGGUGAUUGGUAGUAAUAAGUAGGCGUUGGUGAUGGUGGUGGUGGAGGCGGUGAUUGGUAGUAAUAAGUAGGUGUUGGUGGUGGUGGAGGCGGUGGUGAAUUAUAGUGAUAAGUGGGUGUUUGUGGUGGUGGAGGCGGUGGUGAAUUGUAGUGAUAAGUGGGUGUUUGUGGUGGAGGCGGUGGUGAAUUGUAGUGAUAAGUCGGUGUUUGUGGUGGUGGGGGUGCGUAGCUUGAUCCAGGUGACACUUUGUGAGAUGGUGGUGGUGGUGUGUAGUGAUGGCUUGGCGGGGAUGAAG